rnacentral:rRNA from 1 species
CCUACGGGCGGCAGCAGUGAGGAAUAUUGGGCAAUGGACGAGUGUCUGAACCAGCCAAGUAGCGUGAAGGAUGACUGCACUAUGGGUUGUAAACUUCUUUUAUAAAGGAAUAAAACGAGGCACGUGUGCCUUUUUGCAUGUACUCUAUGAAUAAGGAUCGGCUAAUCCCGUGCCAGCAGCAGCGGUAAUAGGGAGGAUCCGAGCGUUAUCCGGAUUUAUUGGGUUUAAAGGGCGCGUAGAAGGUUUGUUAAGUCAGGUGUGAAAGUUUGCGGCUCAACCGUAAAAUUGCAAUUGAUACUGGCAGUCUUGAGUACAGUUGAGGUAGGCGGAAUUCGUGGUGUAGCGGUGAAAUGCUUAGAUAUCACGAGGAACCCGGAUUGCGAAGGCAGCUUACUAAACUGUGACUGACAUUGAUGCUCGAAAGUGUGGGUAUCGAACGGGAUUAGAUACCCGUGUAGUC